CCCUGGGUAGUGCAAACAGUUAACACACUUAGCUGCUAACUAAAAGGUUGGAGGUUUGAGUCCUCCCAGAGGUG
rnacentral:tRNA from 1 species